rnacentral:tRNA from 1 species
AGUUGAAUAACUCACUAACAAUCAAAACAGCGCCGGGCUCAUAACCCGGAGGACAGUGGAUCGAAACCACUUUCAGCUA